CAUUGGUUGAGCAAAUCAGUCACACCCUUUGGAUCCAAUUUUAAAAGAGUCUUAAUUUAGCAGAAGACGGAAUAUCGUUGGCUUUACCUGAAUAUAAUUGAAGAAUCAAAACGUUGUCAAACAGCGCUCACAAAUGGAUAUAACUAGCUGAAGGUCCACAACGAACAGGGCAGAACAUCUUGGGACCACGAUUCCCUUCAGCGUGUAUCAAUAUUCUAGUUUUCACUCUGAGGUUUCCUGUUGCUGAUCCUCUACCCUCCUGACUCAGCGGGUGUGAUGUAUGUACAAAUUGUACCUGCCCUUCUUUGGAUUCACAACAUUUAGUUGCCUUAAAGAGAGGGAGAACAGUAACUGUGGACUUUCUGGAACUGGUAAACCUUUGUGAACCACAGUAUGACCACCUCCACAUCCUCCAACAUGACUUGAAUGUGCCUCAUGAGCUUCUACAUUAUGUCAGAGGCAGCUUCAUUGUUCCCACGGCUUUCAGAGCAGAUCUUAAAAAUCAACGCCACUAUUUUAAGAUGCCUCAUGAAUUAUGGGUCCAGUAUUGCAUGCGUCAUUGGGAGGCCUAUCUGGUCUCCUACUGGCACGUCAUAGCGCGCGCACACACACAAAACCUAUAUUAGCAACAUCCUCGUGGGUGUCCAGCCAACCACGAGCGAGGCAGUAAGCAAGUUAUUUUCCAAAACAAACUCCCCUAAGGGGUUUUCUGUUCCCAGCUUAGCUUUAAGCAGAGUUGUUGUUGAGUUACAUCUUUUCUUUUUGGUGUUUAUAGGAUAAAUCUAAUCAAACCGUCCCCCCAAGAAUAUAAUAUAAUAUGAUAAAAAUGUCCAUGCAUUGAAAAGUUGUAUUUGAAUUACCCUAAAAAGCCAUUUGACACCGUUGAUCUCAUGCCUGUGCUAUUUGUGUUGUCUUUAGAAUACUGCUUUGAAACUCCCUGCAGUGAGUUCAUCUGGCUCCAUCAUCUCAGCCAUGCUGUCCCAGCCAAAGCUGGUACUCUUGGGAAUGGCCUAAUUUAAACUUCUCCACUGUUUAUAGAUCUAAGCUGAUUGUAUAGAAAGUUAGGGCUCCAUUUAUUUAGGCUGGGACCUGUGUGGAAAUGGUAAUUGAUGUGAGUAAGAGGGACUUAUUGAACGUGAUGACAUCCUGGAGAUCAUUAGGGAAACCACAAACCAGACGGGCAAAGUAUCAGAGGGAUGAGCUCAUCUUUUCCAUUCCCUGAAGGACCUUUUUUUGUGGUUUUUUUUGUGUGUUUUUUUUUUUUUUUUUUUUACAGGGUUGGCCUCUGGACUGGGUUAUGGGAUCAGAGAUGAGUCCAGCUUGACUAUUUGUUGUUUAACAGGUGCUACAGGGCAGGGACAAAGUAGAACAUGUGAAUAUAGUCCUACGAAAAUUAUUUCAGGUUGAUUGAUUGGCUGGUACAAAGUCUCACUGAAUCUCUUCCAAUGUGACCUAUAUGGUGUGCUACUGCAAACCCUUAAUAACUAACUGAGCCCCGGCUCCUGCCUGAUCUAGCGCCUGAAGUACAACACAGCAGGACUAUUUGCCCCAAUAGUUCCUUCUCUUGCUCAUGAACAUGAAGUUUUGAAUCAAAAUAAUGUACCCAGUGGAGUAAAUCCAAAUCCAGCCUCCUCCGCUGCAUCAAGUAACUAGGAAGUGUGCUAAUUACAGGGAGAACCUUGAUGCUUGAUGUAGUGCGUGUCUGCCCUCCCCACCCCCCCUCCGGGGCAGUGCAGCUACUAGGGUAAUAACAGAGAGCAGUGUGUCUGCUACUGACGGAGUAUAAUGAGUGGCUGGAUGGCACGUAGGCUCUCCACAUGGCACCCUGCCACCACCACUCCUUAUCGGCCUGCAUGAAUUCCCCCGUCGCUGGGCGCAGAAUGACUUGUUAUUAGUUUGACUUGCACUCACCACCGGCUAUUCUGUGGGUGGCUGUUUGUGUACAUUUAAUGACUGCUGCUCAAUCAGCGUCCCUCAUCAAGGCACUUUGGGGGUGGAGACAAUGGGUCCCGGGUGGGGUUUGCAGAGACGUUGCUUCACCAGUGUGCAGGAAAUCGGUAUGAAGUGCUUGGACAUGGGACGUGACAACUGCAGCAUGAGACGAGGGACGUCCCAAUAUAGAGCUGAAUGUCUACUCCGAGCCGAGAUGUCAACUCCUUCACUGUGUCCGUAUAGCUCAAGGUUAGGAGUCAUAUGUAAGGGUUAAGUUGACAAAUAAAACAGUUGGGCAUCAAUUAAAAAAAGGUGUCUAAGUCAAUAACAUGUUUACU